AGCUCCAAUAGCGUAUAUUAAAGUUGUUGCGGUUAAAAAGCUCGUAGUUGGAUUUCUGCCGAGGGCGGCCGGUCCGCCCACUGGGUGCGCAUCUGGUUCGACCUGGGCAUCUUCUUGGAGAGCGUAGCUGCACUUGACUGUGUGGUGCGGAAUCCAGGACCUUUACUUUGAGGAAAUUAGAGUGUUUCAAGCAGGCACAUGCCUUGAAUACAUUAGCAUGGAAUAAUAGGAUAGGACCUUGGUUCUAUUUUGUUGGUUUCUAGAGCUGAGGUAAUGAUGAAUAGGGAUAGUUGGGGGCAUUCGUAUUUAACUGUCAGAGGUGAAAUUCUUGGAUUUGUUAAAGACGGACCACUGCGAAAGCAUUUGCCAAGGAUGUUUUCA
rnacentral:rRNA from 1 species